UUAGAAAUAGUUUUUUCAAUGUUUAUUUUUCUUUAUUAUUGAAGUAAAUUUUUAUUUAACGGUAUGAAAAUGAUUAAAAAUGGUAAUACUUGUGUAAAGCUACCUAUUUCAUGCAAAUCUAAACGUUGUUGAAGAAAAAAAUAGGAGAAUUCUAAAUCAUGGAAAUUGUAGAAGUUGAAGGAUUCAAGAGAGGGAACGUUUUGUAAUAGUUUAUCGAAUUAUAAGAAAAAAGCCAGCGUUAAAAUGAAAUGAAGUGGAAGAAAAUUAUUAAGGAUUAUUGUUGGAGCAAUAAAUUCUAUUUAAUUAUAUUUUUGAAAAAGGAAACGAUUAAAUUAUUUGAGCAUAUGUAGUGAGUAACAAAUGCAGUUGAGGCAUAAGGGCCACACUUUGGGAGCGAAACGAGUUCGAUGACCGUACACUCUACAGUCGAAAUGUUAGGGCCUCAAUUCUUAAUUUUUUUGGUGUUAAAAGCAGCUCGUUCCUCAAGGACAUUAAAUUGAAUUUAUAUUACAUGUAUCAUUAGAAUAUUGUUUGAAAGGUUUUGGAAAAGGGUGUUUUAAAAAAUUGGUGAAAGUUUAUGCAUAUAAGGAAAUGUGCACAAUGACAAAUUCGUCCUUGGGCAAUGUCCAAUGCACUGCUGCAGUUACACGUGGUACUCGGUCAGUGGCCUUUUUUAUACGUAGCUCUGUACAUAUUGUAUAUUUGUGAUUUCGCGUCACCCACCUCGAAUCUUUACAACACUUUUUUUUCCUCGCUCAUUGAUGAAGCCCAAGUAUUUUAA